ACGCUCGACACCUACGGGAGGCAGCAGUGGGGAAUAUUGCACAAUGGGGGAAACCCUGAUGCAGCGACGCCGCGUGGAGGAAGAAGGUCUUCGGAUUGUAAACUCCUGUUGUUGGGGAAAAAGAGGAUGGUACCCAACAAGGAAGUGACGGCUAACUACGUGCCAACAGCCGCGUAAUCUGAGCGGGCUGGCAAGGC
rnacentral:rRNA from 1 species